GGAGAAUCCAUUCGAGAAAGCCAAGCUAGAUUCCAAGUCACUCUCAACAGUCUUGAAAGACUUGGCAAAAAGAUUCCUCAAUCGGAAAUCAACAUGAAUAUUCUAAAUGCCGUUCCAUUCGAAUAUGGUGCCAAGGUCACAGCAUUGGAGUCAGCUCUCAACAUUGAUACUAUGGAUCACCUGGCUAUAUUUGCUGAGUUGGAACAAUUUG
rnacentral:lncRNA from 1 species